rnacentral:lncRNA from 1 species
GAAGUGUGUUAAAAAGAAAAAAUAUUUGAUAUAAAAAAGAGUGACUUGAGUUUUAUUUAAACAUAAGGAUAAAGAUAAGGAAAGGGUGAAGAAGGGUAGGUAAUCCUCCCUCCAACACUAAUGCAAAAUGAAAAUUAUGAUAUAUGUCACUCACACAUUCAACAAGGUCUCCAACUUAGGGACAUGGACCAAAGUUGGGCAGUCCACAAAGAGCGAGAGUUCUGUUGAGGCCAACAUUUAUGAAGGGAGAGUCGCUCUUGAUGCCAGGGAGGGCAAAUAUUAAGACAUCUCAAAGGCAACGACCAGCUUGACCAGCACCUAUCCCGACAAGGAUCUCGCAGCAUGGUUCGGCAGGGCUAUCGAUCCGCAGUACAUCAUGCACAACCUUGAACGCACAGUCCCUCAAAUCAGGACAUAUUUGAGAGGUCACCAUUGAGAGUGAGAGCAGAUUGAGAGAGAGGAAGAGAACAACGUAAACACUACCCUUCAAACCCAUUUCACUCUACAAACCUAAUUCCUUCACAACACUUUCUUACACUUUUCUUCUCUAUGUAGAUCGAUUGCGAAUGAUCAACAACUCAUCACCACGGCUAUUUAUAGCCCUAAAAUUUCUG